GAAGGGGAAAGGAAAGCAGACCAAGUGGAGGGGAAGCCUAGUGCCCUGAGGACAAGAGGGACAUAUGUACCAGAUGAAAUUCAUUGGAUCCUAAUCCAAGGCAGAGUUCGUGCCGUGGAGCCAUGGACCAUCUGCAUGAGAUGUAUGGAUUUCUUUUGCCUAGGCAGUAAGCAUGGAUGGCUGAGACUUUGAGCACUGCAAGCUACUAGCUCAACAGAACCACUAUCUGCCUGUCUACCUUUUAUUUAAAUAAAUGGCUAUACAGACUAACCA
rnacentral:lncRNA from 1 species